rnacentral:rRNA from 1 species
UACGUAGGGGGCAAGCGUUAUCCGGACUUACUGGGUGUAAAGGGAGCGUAGGUGGCAUGGUAAGCCAGAAGUGAAAACCCGGGGCUCAACCCCGCGGAUUGCUUUUGGAACUAUCAGGCUGGAGUGCUGGAGGGGUAAGCGGAAUUCCUAGUGUAGCGGUGAAAUGCGUAGAUAUUAGGAGGAACACCGGUGGCGAAGGCGGCUUACUGGACAGAAACUGACACUGAGGCUCGAAAGCGUGGGGAGCAAGCAGG